rnacentral:rRNA from 1 species
UAGGGAAUCUUCCGCAAUGGACGAAAGUCUGACGGAGCAACGCCGCGUGAGUGAAGAAGGAUUUCGGUUCGUAAAACUCUGUGUUAGGGAAGAAAAAAUGUAUAGUAACUAUAUACAAAAGAGACGGUACCUAACCAGAAAGCCACGGCUAACUACGUGCCAGCAGCCGCGGUAAUACGGAAGGUCCGGGCGUUAUCCGGAUUUAUUGGGUUUAAAGGGAGCGUAGGCUGUCUAUUAAGCGUGUUGUGAAAUUUACCGGCUCAACCGGUGGCUUGCAGCGCGAACUGGUCGACUUGAGUAUGCAGGAAGUAGGCGGAAUUCAUGGUGUAGCGGUGAAAUGCUUAGAUAUCAUGACGAACUCCGAUUGCGCAGGCAGCUUACUGUAGCAUAACUGACGCUGAUGCUCGAAAGUGCGGGUAUCAAACAGG